GGCCGGUUGGCCCAAUGGCAAGGCGUCUGACUACGAAUCGCUGGUCUCAAUAUAGGGAUCAGAGAUUAUGCAAUCAGGAGAUUCUGGGUUCGACCCCCAGGCUGGUCA
rnacentral:tRNA from 1 species